AUUCAACUUUAAACAAGUUGCUUGCCACUUUUUUUCUUUCGGUGCCAAUUGCACCUCCCACCACCCACCAUUUUUGACUUUUCAACAGUUACACUCCCAUUUUUUAGAUUUUAAAAUUUUAGAUGUAAUUGUUUAUACUAUUAAUUUUUUUUUGCUAAAUUUAAAUUUAUUACAAUCAUUUUUUAAUUAUAUAGUUACCAAAUGAGAAAUUUUAUUAUUUUAAAAUGUCACACCAAUAAAUUUAAUAAAAAAAUUAGUAUGUUGUUAACAGUUAGACUUAAAUUUUAAUUUUAAAAUAUAAAAAGUAGAGAGACUAAAUAUUUAAAAGUAAAAGUAGAUGAACUAAAUUCUAAAUUUUUAAAAAAUUCAAGGACAUGUGACAUAUUUUAACCUAUUUUAUAUAAAAAACUAAAAUUAUUUUUAUGAACUAUGAGAUUUUAUUUCAAAACAUCAAAGCUUUCAUUAAUUGAAAAAGGUCUGUUACAUAACUCUUUUUUUUUUUUUGAAUUACAAAAAGAGGGUAAAAUCUUAACAAUAAUUCAACUAGCACAACUCGAAUUUAGGUUUUACCCAGAGCGGUGAACACCUUGACCAUCAAGCCAACACAAGCACCAUAACUUCGGGAGAAGGGGUGCCUCCUCACAAAGGGGGUCGCAGUGACUAGGCUCGGGCCACUGUUUACCAAAAACACAGGUCUUCGCAAAGUCGUAAGACUAUGUAUGGGGGCUAACGCCUGCCAGUGCCGGAAGGUCAAGGAAGUUGGUGACCUGAUGACAGGAGAGCCGGCGACUAAAGCCCCGAUAAAUGGCGGCUGUAACUAUAAUGGUCCUAAGUGAGCAAAAUUCCUUGUCGGGUAAGUUCCAACCCGCACGAAAGGCAUAACGAUCUGUGCACCGUCUCGGAAAGAGGCUCAGUGAAAUAGACAUGUCUGUGAAGAUGCGGACUACCCGCACUUGGACAGAAAGACCCUAUGAAGCUUCACCAUUCCCUUGGAUUGGCUUUAAGCUUUUCCUGCACAGCUUAGGUGGAAGGUGAAGAAGGUCUCCUUCCAGAGGGGCCCGAGGGUUCAUUAC
rnacentral:ncRNA from 1 species